UUCUCUUUGUUUUGUUGCCAAGACGAUUAGUUUCUUGCUUCUUGUAGGGUAUAGCUUGCCUCCUUAUGUUGGGCUUUACCAUUUAUUAUCCUUUGUAGUGCUGGAUUUGUGGAAAGAUAUUGUGUAAAUUUGGUUUUGUCAUGGAAUAUCUUGGUUUCUCCAUCUAUGUUAAUUGAGAGUUUUGCAGGAUACAGUAACCUGGGCUGGCAUUUGUGUUCUCUUAGGGUCUGUAUGACAUCAGUCCAGGAUCUUCUGGCCUUCAUAGUUUCUGGCGAAAAGUCUGGUGUGAUUCUGAUAGGUCUGCCUUUAUAUGUUACUUGACCUUUUUCCCUUACUGCUUUUAAUAUUCUUUCUUUAUUUUGUGCGUUUGGUGUUUUGCCUAUUAUGUGACGGGAGGUGUUUCUUUUCUGGUCCAAUCUAUUUGGAGUUCUGUAGGUUUCUUGUAUGCGUAUGGGUAUCUGUUUUUUUAGGUUAGGGAAGUUUUCUUCUAUGAUUUUGUUGAAGAUAUUUACUGGUCCUUUGAGCUGGGAGUUUUCACUCUCUUCUAUACCUAUUAUCCUUAGGUUUGAUCUUCUCAUUGAGUCCUGGAUUUCCUGUAUGUUUUGGACCAGUAGCUUUUUCCGCUGUACAUUAUCUUUGACAGGUGAGUCAAUGAUUUCUAUGGAAUCUUCUGCUCCUGAGAUUCUCUCUUCCAUCUCUUGUAUUCUGUUGGUGAAGCUUGUAUCUACAGCUCCUUGUCUCUUCUUUUGGUUUUCUACAUCCAGGGUUGUUUCCAUGUGUUCUUCCUUGAUUGCUUCUAUUUCCAUUUUUAAUUCCUUCAACUGUUUGAUUGUGUUUUCCUGGAAUUCUUUCAGGGAUUUUUGUGACUCCUCUCUAUGGGCUUCUACUUGUUUAUUUAUGUUUUCCUGGAAUUCUUUUAGGGAUUUUUGCGAUUCCUCUCUGUAGGCUUCUACUUGUUCUCUAAGGGAGUUCUUCACGUCUUUCUUGAAGUCCUCCAGCAUCAUGAUCAAAAAUGAUUUUGAAACUAGAUCUUGCUUUUCUGGUGUGUUUGUAUAUUCCAUGUUUACUUUGGUGGGAGAAUUGGGCUCUGAUGGUGCCAUGUAGUCUUGGUUUCUGUUGAUUGUUCCUGUGCUUGCCUCUCGCCAUCAGAUUAUUUCUAGUGUUACUUUGUUCUGCUAUGUCUGACAGUGGCUAGACUGUCCUAUAAACCUGUAUUUCAGGAGUGCUGUAGACCUGUUUUCCUGUUUUCUUUCUGCCAGUUAUGGGGACUGAGUGUUCUGCUUUCGGGCGUGUAGUUUUUCCUCUCUACAGGUCUUCAGCUCUUCCUGUGGGCCUGUGUCUUGAGUUCACCAGGCAGGUCGCUUGGAGCAGAAAAGUUGGUCUUACCUGUGGUCCCAAGGCUCAAGUUUGCUCGCGGGGUGCUGCCCAUGAGCUCUCCGCGGCGGCAGCCACCAGGAAGAUCUGCGCUGCCAUUUCCGGGAGCUUCUGUGCACCAGGGUUCCAGAUGGUGUUUGGUGUUUUCCUCUGGAAUCAGUAAUGUGUGCAGAGUGCAGUCUCUUCUGGUUUCCCAGGCGUGUCUGCCUCUCUGAAGGUUUAGCUCUCCCUCCCACAGGAUUUGGGUGCAGAGAACUAUUUAUCCGGUCAGUCCGUUCAGGUUCCAGCGGUGUCUCAGACGCAGCGGACCUGCUGCUCCUGGGCCCUCCUCUAACUCCAACUUCUUUUAAUUGUAUGUACUUAGUGCUAUGUGUUGAGUGGAUUCCCUCAAUUCUAAGAAUAGAAUAUUCCAAGGGUGAUGGAAUUCAAGAUAUCCAAUUAUAAAAAGUUGUUUACCUUAGGUGUGGUCCCCUGCCCUACCCCGGUUUUUGAGACAAUAUCUUUUGACUGGCCUGGAACUCACAACUAGGUAAAUCUGGCUGGCCAGUGAACCUCAGGGAUCUACCUGUUUCCACUUUCCCAGUUCUGGGGUUACUGGUAUGCAUCUCUGUGUUUGAUUAUCAUCGUUGUCGUCGUCGUCGUCGUCAUUAUUAUUAUUUUAAAUGUGUUCUGGGAAUUGAACUCAGGUCCUCAUAUUUGUGGAGGAAGCACUUUACUGACUGAGCUAUCUCCUUAGCUCUGAUUUUCUUUAUUUAAGUGUCUGGAUAAAGGCAAGAAUAAUGGUAGAAGUUAUAGGGAAGAAAGUGUGUUCUGUAUCAUAACUUUUAAACAGAGUUGGUACUGUUCAGUCAUGGAAGAUACUACCUUGGGAGUAUACAGAAAAACUGAGCAAAUUAAAAUGACCAGUGACCACUAACAGGAAGCUGUUCUAUGCUAUGUAUCCUAUGGUGGCCUUAAUUAAUGCAUCUUUCUGAUUAUACAAUGGUCUAUGCUUUUCAUUGCCUUAUAACAAUUGUCCAGCCGUCUAUUAAUGGAAAUGAAAACUUUGUCUACAGAAGAAGCACAGUUUCUUCUCCCACCUCUCCAGAGCUGGUUUUGCAUCAAGUAACCUAUUCAUUUCAGCAGUCUUGCUGUUUGUGGAUCUGAAUGAAUUUAACCUCUUACUGGUUGCUUCAUUAAUAAGCUAAGCAGCAGUUAAAAUAUUAUUCAUUUAUAUUUGCAUGAGGGUCACAAUUUUACCCUUUUGAAAUUAUUUAUAUUGUUUAAAAUAGUUUUCUGGGACCUUGAAUUGUUUUUUACUCCUAUGAAUGUUUUUGCCUGCAUAUAUCUGUACAUCACAUGUGUCAACCUCUGCAGAGCCCAGAAGAGGGCGUCGCAUCCCCUGGAACUGUGUGUCACAAUGUGGAUGCUGGGAAUUGAACCCAGGUCCUUCAGUCGGUGCUCUUAACCACAGGGCCAUCUUUGCAGCCUGAAAGCAAUCGCGCCUUAACUGGAAUCCUGUGUUCUUGUUUCAAAAUGAAUCCAUCCUCUUUCCUGACUUCUGUCGAGAUCUCAGAUGUCUACACUUCUGGAGCUUUUCAUUGUAACCCCUAUUACGGGAGAGGUUGAAACAGGAGAGUGGCAAGUUCAAAGCUUGCCUGGGCAAUUUAGGGAGAUUCUGUAACAAGAGAACAAAAGGGCUGAUGCUGGAGAAAGAGGUCGGAGGUGGAAAGUUUUCCAAGUGUUUGCUAGGCGGGAGGUUCCGCUUUGGGGUUUACGACCACCGGGGGCGUGGAAGCUUUCGCAGUCCGGGCAAGGCCAGUAUCAGGACAGGAGCGGGAUUAGACAGGAGAGAGGAUUAGAGUAAAGAACCGCAGGGUUGGCUCAAACAGCUCAAGCCCUGCCUUACUUGACUAUCUUUAUGGCAGCAGAGGAAGUCAAUAGGAACGUGCACAUCGCAGAGGGUAAAGUCCGGUUGUAAUUAACAAAGUAUCUAUGGCCUUUAAAAUUGAACGGAAAGCCGAGGAUACUUCUGGAAUUUGAGACCAAGUCUUCGCUAGCUCCAAUUGUUGACCACUAUACUGGUUGAUAGACAUUUGUUACCCAAAACCAAAUAGGGGAGGGGAAUAGGGGCAUGGUUGAAGAGGAAGGGCAGUGAGAGGAAUCACACUUUUCUAAAAAAUCAAAUCAAAUCCCGGGGCUUUUUACAGCAAGGAGGAGAGAGGUGGGCUUAAGUUUUCUAAAUCAAACGUCUUUAGAUCCUAUAAUCCUGCCAGAUAGUUACAAGUUAGUCACUUCUUGUACAGGCUUCGCAGCAAAUUGCUAAGCAGUUUCUGAUUUAUUUAUUGAUUAAUUUAUUUAGCUAUGGAAACUGAGUCCUCUAGAGGAUCAGGAUUUCCUUAAGUUAUUCAAAUUGUUAGUAAAAGGUUACUGAACCACGUACACGUCUAGGAGAGGCCCCAAAGCCACUAACAGUAUAAUCCCUCAAAUUCCUCGCCGCUGCCAGAUCCAGGGCAUUUCAUCUGCAGUUACGCUUCACCGGAACAGGUCUCUGAGCCUGGGCCACGCAGAUUCUAUACCUCGCAGGUCCUUUCUUUAAGGCAGUGUAUCUCUUGAGUAUCGUGGGAUCAUCACUUUGCCUUAUCAAGGGAGCAGGCACCAGCUUGUCUUCAACCGGACGAGUCCGUAGAUGGCUGGACAAUAAGCACAGUGAGGAAAAUGCCAAAUCGAAGCCAGACAGAUCCCCUCUUUUUUUCUCUGCCUUUCAUGGGCGGCGGAGGGAGGAUAUCCCCGAAUGCUUCCGGCAUUGGAGCGCGCGCUGUCCCUUUAAGCAGGAGCGCGGGGCGCGGCUCAGGUAUGGGGCGUGUCCAGGGGGCGGGCGAGCCCUGAGCCGGCUCUGUCUCGCAGCCGGAUUUGGAGCAGGGCGCCAGCGGGGGCCGGAGGGGGCGGCGCGGCGGACCUCGGUGGCCUCGGACGCUCCUCCUCGAGAGCGGCCGCCGCCCGCCUCCGCCCGUGCUAGCGCUGCUCUCUCGCCCUGGCCGGCACCCCCGCAGUUGCUCCAGGCCGCUCACUUGGGACGCGCUUACCUGAGACAAGGCGCCUGCCACCCUCACCUGGACCAGGAUGAAGGACCGACUGGAGCAGCUGAAGGCCAAGCAGCUGACGCAGGAUGAUGACACGGACGAGGUUGAGAUUGCUAUUGAUAAUACAGCGUUCAUGGAUGAGUUCUUUUCUGAGAUUGAGGAAACGAGGCUCAACAUCGACAAGAUCUCAGAGCAUGUGGAGGAAGCUAAGAAACUCUACAGUAUCAUUCUCUCUGCACCGAUUCCAGAGCCAAAAACCAAAGACGACCUUGAACAGCUCACAACUGAGAUCAAGAAAAGGGCCAACAACGUCCGGAACAAACUGAAGAGCAUGGAGAAGCAUAUUGAGGAAGACGAGGUCCGGUCAUCAGCAGACCUUCGGAUACGAAAGUCCCAGCACUCCGUCCUCUCCCGGAAGUUUGUGGAGGUGAUGACAAAGUACAAUGAGGCACAGGUGGACUUCCGUGAACGCAGCAAAGGGCGCAUCCAACGGCAGCUUGAAAUUACUGGCAAGAAAACAACAGAUGAGGAGCUGGAAGAAAUGUUGGAGAGUGGCAACCCAGCCAUCUUCACUUCUGGGAUCAUUGACUCCCAGAUUUCCAAGCAAGCCCUCAGCGAGAUUGAGGGUCGGCACAAGGACAUCGUGAGGCUGGAGAGCAGCAUCAAGGAGCUCCAUGACAUGUUUAUGGACAUCGCCAUGCUGGUGGAGAAUCAGGGUGAGAUGUUAGAUAACAUAGAGUUGAAUGUCAUGCACACGGUGGACCAUGUGGAGAAGGCACGGGAUGAAACUAAAAGAGCCAUGAAGUAUCAGGGUCAGGCUCGAAAGAAAUUGAUAAUUAUCAUUGUGAUAGUAGUUGUGUUGCUGGGCAUUUUAGCGUUGAUUAUUGGAUUGUCCGUUGGGCUGAAAUAAGAGUGGCCUAAGGGGCUGCUGCACUGAAAUUUUACAUCCCAGUCUGGCUCAAACUUGGGAUUCCGUACCCUCCUAUGUGUUGGGAUUACAGGUGUGAGCUGAAGGGCAGCCAAGUGCUCUUACCUGCCACCCAAGCCGUCUCUCUGGCCUCCUCCACAACCAUCAAACAAUUUAAAACACAAAUUCACCCAGAAAAACUAGAAGUUAUGACAUCAUUUACUGAGCUAAAAACCAUUGUGGAAUUAUAUAUGGAAUGAUUUUGCUUAUUUAAUACAAAUGUAUCUGUAUAUAUGUCUGUAUUAGGUGAGUUGUGAAGGAACACUUAGUAUAAGAAACCCAAACUGGAGUUUUAAUAGUUCAUCUGAAUAAGUAGUUGCAUCAUUUAGUCCAGAAGAUUGCGUUGAUCUCCCCAGAUAUCACCAAGGCUUUCCUUCUCCCUUGCAAUUGGUAUAAAUGACAACUGACAGUCUGUUUUGAGAAGCCAGGAAUUUUAUUUCAUGAGUCACAGUGGUGAGCACCUCAGGAACCUGCAUCAUUUAUUCCACACCGUGGCUCAGGAAUGGAGUAGCACUGUUAAUAUCUGCUUUUCUUGGUACAGAUUUGAAACGAUAUGAAAAGAAACCAAACCAUCCUUUGGUCACAUACAACAGAAGAUACUCCUUCUCAGUAUUGGGUGAAGUUGGCUGUGAUGUGCUCGUAGUUGAAGGGAAUAUAGUAUGCAACCCCUGGAAUAAGGCAGAGGAUAACAAGUGUUCACGGUGCACAUAAACUUUCCAAAUCAAACAGUAGCAUAUUAACCUUGAGAGAGGUAGGUAUGAUUACCGUAGAGAGAAGAGGGCAGAAAUGUGAGUUUUGUUUAAGGAUUUCUUUUAAAAUGUUUUUUUGUUAUUGUUAUUUAUCUGUGUGUAUCUAUGUGGAUGAAUGCAUGUGAAACUCAGAAGACAACUUGUGAGAGUCAAUUCUCACUUUUCAUCAUGUGUUCCCAGGAAUCAAACUUAGGCCUCUAAGCCUGGUGCCAAAUGUUUUUACCAGCUCUUGCUAGACCUGUAGGGAUUUCUUUCUUUUAAAAUGAUGAUGAUGAUGAUGAUGAUGAUGAUGAUGAUGAUGAUGAUGAUGAUGAUGAUGAUGAUGAUGGUGUGUGUGUGUGUGUGUGUGUGAGUGCAUGCACCACAUGUGUGAAGGUGCUUAUGGAGGACAAAAGAAGGAACUGGGAUUAUAGCCGUAGAGACUGAAUCCAUAUUUGUGUACUGUAAGAUUGUGAUUAUGAGAGGAGCUGCAGCCCAUGAAUUCCGCUGGCCAGCUCUUCCUAACUAUAUGGUAGAUGGCAAGCAAACCAUCUCUCCAUGGUAAAAUUGAAGAAUGGAGCCUUCAAGAGAUAGCCUUGGCCUCCUGUGACUCUGUUAGGAGUCACAGUCCUCUUCAUAGUGACAGUCAGGGUCAGGUUAACAUGAUCCUUAGACAAAACCAUGCCCAGUACUCUUUAAGUGGGAAGAAGUUUCAGUGUUUAUGCAAAACCUUUCAGAAAUAUUAGUUGCUGGAGUCUGAAUUUCAUUCUUGCCAUAUUUAUUUGUAAAUACAUAGUUACAAACAUUCCUUUAUCAGAGACUAAACAGAAGGCAAGGACUGAAGUUUUGAUGACCCUAGUUAGAAAGCUCACUUGUCUUAGGGUUUGGAAACCUGAACUUGAUUUCUGUUCUGUCGAACUCUAGGCUCAUUUUUCAAACAGGUGCCCUUGACAUCUUGUGGUGAUGCAAUAUUCUAAAAUAUCUCUUACAUUCUAAGACACUGGGACUUUUUUGCUGGACCUCACUGCAGGGUUAAUACUACACCUUGAGGUUACUUCUGACUUAAGACUGCUACCCUAUUGCGUACUCAGCCCGUUCGCUUAACCUGCCUUUAAGAGAAGUGUAAGAAUCGACAUACUUGCCUUGAAUUCUCUAUGUAAUCCAUCUUUACAACCUAAGAUAACGCAUAGGUAUAAUCUUAAGUUCGUUCGUUUGUUCUUUCUUUCUUUCUUUCUUUCUUUCUUUCUUUCUUUCUUUCUUUCUUUCUUCCUUUCUUUAUUUUUAUUAUUAACUUGAGUAUUUCUUAUAUACAUUUCGAGUGUUAUUCCCUUUCCCGAUAAUCUUAAGUUCUUAUUAUGUACUCUUCAAGACCCAGACCCAGAACAAUGCAUGUUUAUCAUUUGCUGAGAGCAGCAAAUACAUAAGAUGAAAGCAAUUUCCUAAAAUCUACCAUGAAGUUUGAAAACAUCUAUUUAUGAAAAUUGGCUGAUAAACACUGGUGUUUAUAGGACUGUUACAUAUUUCUGUAAAAUGUCCUAUUCCAUCCCCGUAUGAUGCUUUCUGUGCUGUUCAAUAAAGACACAGUAAAGCUUUUGCCAGGGACAUACACACAGCCGUCUAGCAGACACAUAGCAGGUACACACAGUCAGGCACAGGGCCAGAGAGACUGACAAGACCGCUCCUUACAGCAGGCACAGAUUCAGACUCAUGCAACAGGAGGACAGAGGAUGGAAGACACAGGGUUGAUGAAGUAGAGAAUUCAAGUCUGAACUCGCUCUUGGUGAAAUGGCCCCAAGGGGAAGUGGGAAGAACUUUUAUUUCUUUCCUUAAUGCUACGCUGAUGUACUUGGUGCCUUGGAGUUAAGCACCAAUGUAUAAUUUAUUUCACAUCUCUUAAAUUUAGUUACCUUCCUGUAAAAAGAGUCACUAACAAUUGCAGAGUAUUUAUGUAAUGGUUAUCUGUGACACUCAAUUCCUAUACAUAUCCUUAGUAUGAGCACACACACACAUUAUAAUACUAGCCAAGUACGUGAAUUAAAGGACUAGUAAAUGUAGCUUCCAGCUGGAAGAAAAAGGCAUUCCUCUGCUCUUCUUACCUUCACCCAAAGGCGUUUUGCCACUAAGGAACUCCCAAUAGGUCUUGUGCUUAACAUUCUCAGCGAUAUUGUUGAUAGAAGAGACAAUAAGGCCCCAGGAUGUCAUUGUGGUUUCAAAUCUAAGAAUAAAAUGUGAACAACCUUGGUUGAAGCCAGGCAACAGGAGGCAAGACGGAGGGACAGGUGUUCAAAUGCUUUAAAGAACAGAUAAAAAUAAUGUUCAGAGAGAAAGUACAAAUGACUAGUGAGCAUGGAACCGUACCACUUAAAGUGGAAUUUCAAUGAAUAGCAUUUGAAUGAUUUUGAUUAAUGUUUUCAGUUGAGUGGGUUGAGAGGCAUUUCUAUAUUUAGGUAUUCAUGUUUUAUGGAUAUGUUAUUUGGAACAAACACUUUUACUUUGCACAGUACCCAUUUGCCAGAUUCCAUAGGCUUAUUUCUCUUUGGUAUGUUGAGGACUCCGGGUGAAUGAGUACCUCCAUGUAUGUACAAUUCAACAUUUCUACUCAUUAAAUUACAUAUAUCUCCAUGGCACAGUUGAAAUCCAAGGUUUUUCUUGUAUAGAAUAUUGUGUGGAAAUAUUAAAUAAUAUUAAAUUAAUAGUAAAAAGAGUAGCCAUUGUAGAGGACAGUGUGCAUGAGGGUCAUAUGGGGUGCACUCUGUUAAUGAUCAACUCUAGAGAUGUCCAAAUUCUUAAAGGAUCUUACAUAAAGAAUCACGGAAUUUGGUGCCUCAGGCCUCUGUAGGUACCUGUACUCACAUGCAUAUAUCUGAUCCCCACAUCAUCAAAAAUAAAUAAAUCAUAGAAAAUAAGGAACACAAAUUUUAGAGGAAAAUAUGCCAGACCAUGACUCUGAUGAGUCACAGCUGUUUGUACUACAUGUAGAAAAAAUUUCUAUGAGAUUAUUAAAUAACUGAUUAUAA